AUUGAACAUGUUGUCUUUUCUCCAACUCGCAGGAGGAUGAAGACGCAGUGCAGUUUGCGAACCGCGUGAAGUCAGCCAUUGCUCGGCAAGGGGGACUCGUCGAUCUGCUUUGGGAUGGGGGACUAAAACGGGAUAAGGUCAAAGACGCGUUCAAAGAGGAGCAACAGAAACUGUACAGCCGCAUCAUCUCUGGAAACCAGGAGAACCGGAGUCGCUCCUGAACCCCAGAACGGGGAAGCGAGCUCUGCCCCGAGCCAAGCCGCUGCUCCAAAACCCACAGGAAGAAGACUCUGAGCCGCAGGAAUAUAAGCCAUGGAGCGGGAGAUGAGGGAACACCAGAACACGGAGCCACUCUGGAUUACUUUAUAAUUGAGGAACUGAUACUGCCAGAGCAAUGGCGUGCAGCGGGUCCUUU